rnacentral:rRNA from 1 species
GACGAACGCUGGCGGCGUGCUUAACACAUGCAAGUCGAACGGAAAGGCCCUGCCUUUGUGGGGUGCUCGAGUGGCGAACGGGUGAGUAACACGUGAGUAACCUGCCCUUGACUUUGGGAUAACUCCAGGAAACUGGGGCUAAUACCGGAUAGGAGCUCCUGCUGCAUGGUGGGGGUUGGAAAGUUUCGGCGGUUGGGGAUGGACUCGCGGCUUAUCAGCUUGUUGGUGGGGUAGUGGCUUACCAAGGCGUUGACGGGUAGCCGGCCUGAGAGGGUGACCGGCCACAUUGGGACUGAGAUACGGCCCAGACUCCUACGGGAGGCAGCAGUGGGGAAUAUUGCACAAUGGGCGGAAGCCUGAUGCAGCAACGCCGCGUGCGGGAUGACGGCCUUCGGGUUGUAAACCGCUUUCGCCUGGGACGAAGCGAGAGUGACGGUAAUGGGUUAAGAAGCACCGGCUAACUACGUG